rnacentral:rRNA from 1 species
AUACGUAGGGGGCGAGCGUUGUCCGGAAUGAUUGGGCGUAAAGGGCGCGUAGGCGACGCGGUAAGUCUGGAGUGAAAGUCCUGCUUUCAAGGUGGGAAUUGCUUUGGAUACUGCCGCGCUUGAGUGCAGGAGAGGUUAUCGGAAUUCCCGGUGUUGCGGUGAAAUGCGUAGAGAUCGGGAGGAACACCAGUGGCGAAGGCGGGUAACUGGACUGCAACUGACGCUGAGGCGCGAAAGUGUGGGGAGCAAACAGGAUUAGAUACCCUGGUAGUCCACACUGUAAACGAUGAAUGCUAGGUGUAAGAGGUAUCGACCCCUUUUGUGCCGGAGUCAACACAAUAAGCAUUCCGCCUGGGGAGUACGGCCGCAAGGUUGAAACUCAAAGGAAUUGACGGGG